UCUGGACAGGUUAAUUCAGGGUGAAGCCUGCGCUGAUCUCCUGGGUGGAAGAAGGAGCCCUUGGGAGGCUGCAGAGAGGUGUGUUUGGAGUGUGCAGACCUACUCUUCAGAAUUCCACCUUUCUACAAUUUAGUUUUGGAAAAGGAACUCCAAACAGCUGUGAGAUGGAAAGCUGCAACACACGCUGGGUCGUGCGUGAUUCUGUGCUAUGGGCCACAGCCUCGAGGGAACAGCCCUGCCUAUAUCUUGAUGGGAAUGAGGACCCUGGGGUCACCUGUCCAAUUGGAGGCCAGAAUGAGGAAAGCGUCCUCGCAGUGGAGACCCAGUCUAUUUGUGACCUCACUCCUGAGUCUGCUCCGUCCAGUCCCUGGAUUCAGAACCCCACAGUUGAGUCA